rnacentral:lncRNA from 1 species
GCACAGGACAAUGCCAUCAGUGGGUCUACAUCACACAGAAAAUGAUCAAUGAUGUUGGGACCACAGAAAGGUAGUUGAGAAAUGAAGAAAAUGGAAAUUGAAUGUCCAAGGAAACCAAUGAGCCAACAAAGAGACACCAAGAUGCCACAGAGCUGGCCAGUCAUAAUGGAGGGAUAGUGCAGUGGGUGGCAGAUGGCCAGGUACCGAUCAUAAGCCAUGACACAGAGGAAGAAGCAUUCAGUUGUGCCCAGGGGAAAGAAGAAGUAGAACUGAGUGAAACAUCCAGAGAAUGAUAUGGUCUUAGUUUUGGAGAAAAAAUUUACCAGCAUGUUGGGGACUGUGCAGGUCACAUACCAGAUCUCUAGGAAGGAGAAGUUGGCUAGGAGCACGUACAUAGGGGUAUGGAGUCGAUGGUCCCACCUCACUGCACAGAUGAUGGCCAUAUUCCCAGUCAGAGUGAAGAUGUAGACCAACAAAAUCAUUGAGAAAAAGAUGAUCUGAAUUUUCCAGGGACCAGGAAACCCCAACAACACAAACUGCGUCACAGUAGAUAUCUGUGAGUUAUUCAUGCUUCCCAGACUGUGGAGAGAACACCGAUGGUCAAUGACAAUUUACUUUGCUGAUGAAGCAUCUUGAAGCUUUUUUUGGGAUAAGGAGUUUGACUCUUGCAGAGAGCGAGAGGCCUGCCUUUCAGUACUUGAUCAAACCUGG